GGUUAAGCGACUAAGCGUACACGGUGGAUGCCCUGGCAGUCAGAGGCGAUGAAGGACGUGCUAAUCUGCGAUAAGCGUCGGUAAGGUGAUAUGAACCGUUAUAACCGGCGAUUUCCGAAUGGGGAAACCCAGUGUGUUUCGACACACUAUCAUUAACUGAAUCCAUAGGUUAAUGAGGCGAACCGGGGGAACUGAAACAUCUAAGUACCCCGAGGAAAAGAAAUCAACCGAGAUUCCCCCAGUAGCGGCGAGCGAACGGGGAGCAGCCCAGAGCCUGAAUCAGUGUGUGUGUUAGUGGAAGCGUCUGGAAAGGCGCGCGAUACAGGGUGACAGCCCCGUACACAAAAAUGCACAUGCUGUGAGCUCGAUGAGUAGGGCGGGACACGUGGUAUCCUGUCUGAAUAUGGGGGGACCAUCCUCCAAGGCUAAAUACUCCUGACUGACCGAUAGUGAACCAGUACCGUGAGGGAAAGGCGAAAAGAACCCCGGCGAGGGGAGUGAAAAAGAACCUGAAACCGUGUACGUACAAGCAGUGGGAGCACGCUUAGGCGUGUGACUGCGUACCUUUUGUAUAAUGGGUCAGCGACUUAUAUUCUGUAGCAAGGUUAACCGAAUAGGGGAGCCGAAGGGAAACCGAGUCUUAACUGGGCGUUAAGUUGCAGGGUAUAGACCCGAAACCCGGUGAUCUAGCCAUGGGCAGGUUGAAGGUUGGGUAACACUAACUGGAGGACCGAACCGACUAAUGUUGAAAAAUUAGCGGAUGACUUGUGGCUGGGGGUGAAAGGCCAAUCAAACCGGGAGAUAGCUGGUUCUCCCCGAAAGCUAUUUAGGUAGCGCCUCGUGAAUUCAUCUCCGGGGGUAGAGCACUGUUUCGGCAAGGGGGUCAUCCCGACUUACCAACCCGAUGCAAACUGCGAAUACCGGAGAAUGUUAUCACGGGAGACACACGGCGGGUGCUAACGUCCGUCGUGAAGAGGGAAACAACCCAGACCGCCAGCUAAGGUCCCAAAGUCAUGGUUAAGUGGGAAACGAUGUGGGAAGGCCCAGACAGCCAGGAUGUUGGCUUAGAAGCAGCCAUCAUUUAAAGAAAGCGUAAUAGCUCACUGGUCGAGUCGGCCUGCGCGGAAGAUGUAACGGGGCUAAACCAUGCACCGAAGCUGCGGCAGCGACGCUUAUGCGUUGUUGGGUAGGGGAGCGUUCUGUAAGCCUGUGAAGGUGUGCUGUGAGGCAUGCUGGAGGUAUCAGAAGUGCGAAUGCUGACAUAAGUAACGAUAAAGCGGGUGAAAAGCCCGCUCGCCGGAAGACCAAGGGUUCCUGUCCAACGUUAAUCGGGGCAGGGUGAGUCGACCCCUAAGGCGAGGCCGAAAGGCGUAGUCGAUGGGAAACAGGUUAAUAUUCCUGUACUUGGUGUUACUGCGAAGGGGGGACGGAGAAGGCUAUGUUGGCCGGGCGACGGUUGUCCCGGUUUAAGCGUGUAGGCUGGUUUUCCAGGCAAAUCCGGAAAAUCAAGGCUGAGGCGUGAUGACGAGGCACUACGGUGCUGAAGCAACAAAUGCCCUGCUUCCAGGAAAAGCCUCUAAGCAUCAGGUAACAUCAAAUCGUACCCCAAACCGACACAGGUGGUCAGGUAGAGAAUACCAAGGCGCUUGAGAGAACUCGGGUGAAGGAACUAGGCAAAAUGGUGCCGUAACUUCGGGAGAAGGCACGCUGAUAUGUAGGUGAAGUCCCUCGCGGAUGGAGCUGAAAUCAGUCGAAGAUACCAGCUGGCUGCAACUGUUUAUUAAAAACACAGCACUGUGCAAACACGAAAGUGGACGUAUACGGUGUGACGCCUGCCCGGUGCCGGAAGGUUAAUUGAUGGGGUUAGCGCAAGCGAAGCUCUUGAUCGAAGCCCCGGUAAACGGCGGCCGUAACUAUAACGGUCCUAAGGUAGCGAAAUUCCUUGUCGGGUAAGUUCCGACCUGCACGAAUGGCGUAAUGAUGGCCAGGCUGUCUCCACCCGAGACUCAGUGAAAUUGAACUCGCUGUGAAGAUGCAGUGUACCCGCGGCAAGACGGAAAGACCCCGUGAACCUUUACUAUAGCUUGACACUGAACAUUGAGCCUUGAUGUGUAGGAUAGGUGGGAGGCUUAGAAGUGUGGACGCCAGUCUGCAUGGAGCCGACCUUGAAAUACCACCCUUUAAUGUUUGAUGUUCUAACGUUGACCCGUGAUCCGGGUUGCGGACAGUGUCUGGUGGGUAGUUUGACUGGGGCGGUCUCCUCCUAAAGAGUAACGGAGGAGCACGAAGGUUGGCUAAUCCUGGUCGGACAUCAGGAGGUUAGUGCAAUGGCAUAAGCCAGCUUGACUGCGAGCGUGACGGCGCGAGCAGGUGCGAAAGCAGGUCAUAGUGAUCCGGUGGUUCUGAAUGGAAGGGCCAUCGCUCAACGGAUAAAAGGUACUCCGGGGAUAACAGGCUGAUACCGCCCAAGAGUUCAUAUCGACGGCGGUGUUUGGCACCUCGAUGUCGGCUCAUCACAUCCUGGGGCUGAAGUAGGUCCCAAGGGUAUGGCUGUUCGCCAUUUAAAGUGGUACGCGAGCUGGGUUUAGAACGUCGUGAGACAGUUCGGUCCCUAUCUGCCGUGGGCGCUGGAGAACUGAGGGGGGCUGCUCCUAGUACGAGAGGACCGGAGUGGACGCAUCACUGGUGUUCGGGUUGUCAUGCCAAUGGCACUGCCCGGUAGCUAAAUGCGGAAGAGAUAAGUGCUGAAAGCAUCUAAGCACGAAACUUGCCCCGAGAUGAGUUCUCCCUGACUCCUUGAGAGUCCUGAAGGAACGUUGAAGACGACGACGUUGAUAGGCCGGGUGUGUAAGCGCAGCGAUGCGUUGAGCUAACCGGUACUAAUGAACCGUGAGGCUUAACCUU
rnacentral:rRNA from 1 species